UUUCAGGAAGGAGUACUCAUAAUUUCGACUAGAAUAUUCUCGAAUGAAAUAAGGUGUCAAAUUCACGCUUGGCAUGAAUAUCAAAUGAAACAAUUACUGUAAAUGGCUGUUAAAGCACGAAGCGUAUUCAUGAUUUUUUGUUAUUCGUAGUUAAUUUGAAACAAUGAAAUACUAUAAAUAUCAGGUUUUUCCGUUCUGUGAAGGUAAGUUACCUGAAGGUUGCUACAGCAAUGAAGCUAACGUCGAAUUUGUCAACCUGGGUCCUAAUCAUGGCCGCCGCCUUGUCGGUGUUGGUCAACACUGCUACAGCUAAAUAUUGUUACUCGAAGUAUGACUGCUCAGAAUCAUGCGCACGUGCUUGCUUUUACUAUAUAGAUGCGUUGUGCUAUAAUUCUCAAUGCUCCUGUCAAGUAAGAUCCAGUAGAACAGAAACAGAAACAAUUCCACAGAGGUGUUAUUGAUAAUUUAUCUACUAUUUAAUUAAAAAAUUUUUUCAU